CAAAAAUCUAAAGCAGAUAGAAUCAUAGAGAAAAUGAAAGAUAUAUGUAUAUUUCUAGGUAACGUGAUGUGUACAGCUUUGAAUCACAUAUCUGGCAGAGUUCGGAGCCCACACUAGCGGUAGCUGAUCGGGAGUCCUCUAGGCAGCGGGGACACAUGGAAUCCUUCGUUUUAUGUGUGUGUCCCACCUUCGUCGUCGUCGUCGUCGUCGUCGCUGUAGCCGCCACGAUCGUCGUCGUCGUCGUCGCCGUCGCAGGUCGGCUCGAUAUAUGCGGGCCGAUUUUUCGUUUUGCCACCGACUUCACUGCUGCCUUCGGAUCUUUCCUUUUCCUGCGCGUUCUGUUACUCCGCUCCCGCUCACAGUAGAGCCCUUUUGCGUUAAGCCGCACCGCGUGGCACACACGGGGACAGCGAAACGAUGGAACGGGAUGGGACGGAACUUCGGGGGACUUCGGAUAGCGUAAACGUUCCUCUCUGUUCCUUUGGUUUCUCAUUCUCUCGCUUUCUCUCCCGUCUCAUCUUUACCUAUCUCCCUCGGUCUCUUCCUUGCUCCUUUUCCGCAGCCACGCACACCUUUCUGCGUUCAUCAUUCCACCCUCUCUUUUCUGUUCAUGUUCGAUCGUUUUACUCCCUCGACACACACUGAACGGUGGCUUUACCUCUCUCUCCUUUCGUCCCUGAUCCUCUGUUCACCGCUUUCGGGAUCGGUCUCUUUUCAAUGCUUUCCCGUUCCUGCUGGUCACUGUAAAGCGGGUGGGGUAUGCGAACGCCGCGAUACUAUGUUAUGCCUGCGGACCGCGGGUCUGACAUACUUUGUAUGUUAAUGCCACAUAAUGUCGGUUUUGUUCCUCUUUUCAGCAUUUAUUUGUUCGGCUCCUCGGAGCCUUAGCAGAGGCUUUAGCGUACGGACCAUAGUUCGUUCCGCGUCUUCGAUCGCUCGGCUGUUUGGCGAAUCGACUUUCCUUUUCUUCUUUUUCCUCAUGUCUCACUACGUCCUUGUCGAUAUUCAUCCAGAAGUUGUCAGAUCUUGGACUGAUGUCUCGCCUCGAGAUAAUCGAUUCCAUCGAUAUGACGUUGUGCCACUUGUCGCCAGGUAAAUGUGGAGACGAUCCACGAUCGUUUGAUAACACAAAUUCAUGGAUUCCUCUUCUAUCAGGUUCCAGUAUUUAUCAGUUCUACGUCGUGAUCCACUUCUCUUGAGUUUUCCUGCUCGGGAAUACCCACACGUGAAACUCGUCAAGAUAUUGUAUUGUUUAUUUUCAUCCUUCUUUUGUCGAGGAGAAACGUUAAUCGCCAGUUACGUCGUAUUCCACGAGACGAGGAAUUAGCUUAUCAGAAGAUUGCACUUGGGCCAACGUAACACUUCCCAGUUGUAUAAUUAUGCAAUAUGCGUAAGCAUCUAUGAAUUUCAGUAAAAGCUACAGCUGCUGAUAAUAAAUCUCGUCGAGAUGAUGCAAGUCCUUUUUGAACUUCGUUCUCUAAAUAAUUGAUGCAGUUUACAUUUCUACGAAUCAACGACGUCCUUGCUGUGCCAAGUCAUUAACUGUUUACGUCGACCAAUAUCUUGAAUAAUCGUAGCCAAUCGAUGAGUUCAAAGUUAAUUUCGCAGUCAGUAAUGAACGCGCGAGUUAAACAGCAACCAGCGUGGCGUCGAUAAACCUGUAAGAGCCAUUUCUGUUUCGUAAGCAACCUGUUGAAUCGGUGGAAAAAAAGAAGGUAACCGUCAUAAAUUUCUCGGUCGACGAAUUAGCGUGGUGGUGCCGAGUUUGGUUACCGAUUACGACCAGUAGCCACUAGCCACAUGCCGCAUGUAAUAUAGACCUGCUGGAACGCGAUCCCGCGUUGACAGGUGAUGCAGUUGCGGAAUUGGCUCUCGCAUCGAGCGCAUCUCACGGUGUUCGUGAGCGAAGUGCCUCGCCGUUGAUGUUUCGCUAGAGUACUUACGUAGGACGGUGGAAAAGAGAGAAAGAAAGAGAGGGUGAGGGAGAGGGAGGGAAAGGGCAGAAAAGCAAAGUAUCGGCGGAGCAACACAGAAGCGGCAGGGAACGGCAGUAGCGAGUAAACGCAAAAGCGCCCUCGCUCGGUCCCGCGCGAUGCAAAGACGGGGUAUAAAUAAGCGGCUGUCGUUUGCGGAAGCAGAAAACGGGCAAAAGGACAGAAAUAAAGAAGAAGUCCCAGAAGAAAGGGAGGCAGCGACAGAGAGAGGAAUAAAUAAGCUGGGCCGGGAGAGCGAGAGGACAGGUAAAAGUAGAAGGAGCCCGAGCAGUAGCAAAGGCAGAAGCAGAAGCAGCAACGGUUCCACCGUUCAGUCCCUUGCCGCUUGGUCGACCAACGUCCCGAUCUACUACUUUUGCGGUGUACGACCGUCCUCGCAUUGAAAACUUUCCAGCGUGUCCUGCCUCCGCUACGAACGCGGCAGGUGUACUUCUGUCUCGUUAUCCGGAAAGUCUCUUCCUCCUCGACGGGGACACGUUGUCGAGUAGAACUCGUAGAUCACUUCUCGAGGAUGUUUCGAAUGGAUUUUAGAGGACAAGUGAUUUUGUCGUGGGAGGAGAACUGAACGUAACGGAAGGCAGAUCCAUUUAACGAUCUUUGUAACGUUAAUGAAUGUAUUAGGUCGGUAAAUGAAAGAGUGCCGAAGGGAAUGGAGCUAACGAUUCAGUCCAUCCGACCCCCUUCAACACAUCCUUGCUACUUCAAUUACACUCGAAUAAGACGAUACGAUGCUCGUGCUUAGAUCUCCAUGUAUACUUUGUGCUUCGUUUAAACGAUAGAAAAAGAGAAAAUGAAACACCUCUUCCGGUGUGCGCGCAUUUCUAGAAAUCCGAGAGUUGGAGCUCGAAUCUCCAUAGUAUCGCGCUGGAUUAUCCGCCGUUGGAUCUAGAUACUAUUCAUGCUAAGCCGCAUAUCUGCAUACGCAUCGAGACACUUUUCGAGAGCACGUUACGCAGCCAUGCAAUGGCACCACGUGCAUACACGAGGAGGGUCAACCUGCAUCCGCGUGUACAGCGGCACCGUGUGUGCUUCUCGCCUUCUCGUACAUGCACACACGUAUGCGCACUUACUACGUUACCCCCCAAUGCUGGCUGUGAAACGGAACACAACAGAGCAGAGUAGAGCAGAGCAGAACAGAGCAGAGCGGAGCGGAGCGGAGCGGAGCGGAGCAGAAGAGAACGGAACGGAACGGGACGGAACAGAGCGGAACCGAAUGAAACGGAACAGAAGCGAACGCAGUAGAGAAGCGCAGGCUGACUGCAUGGCCGCAGCAUGUUUAUUGGCGCAUCUUGGAGUCUUAAAUCUUUAUGUUGUCUCCACGACGGGGUCUGCUAUCUCCCUGUCCCAUUGGCGGGACGGGAAGAGAAGGGAGAAUCGGCAGAAGCACGGAAGGGGUAAGAGGAACGGGAACAAAGAGAGAAACAAGGGGGAUUAGUGGCGAGAAGAGAGAGGAAAGCGCGACAGAUAAGAAAAAGAAACGAAAAGAGAAGCGGUGAAGGAACGAGAGGGAAGAAAAUCGGGAGAGAUAUAUCUCUCGGGUUGCGGUCGCGAAAUCGAGUCAAGCGUCCGACAACCAAACGACCAAGACGCAUCCACUGCAUUACGCACACAGAAGCCGCGAUUUCAAUGUGCCUCUAGAAAUGGUCGUUUGCAGUCGUACAGAGAAAACCCACGUGGUAAAGACCCCAGGCAGGAAUUAUUAAUGGCCGUAGGUGUUACCAGCGCGAAGAUUACCGCCUUUAGCCAGAUGCGAUAGAAUUGCAUCAUAUAAGGUUGACUCAACACGCGCUCCUGGUUCCUCCAGCCUUUUGUUACAACUUAACGGCUAUAUGGUUUAGAAAAUUAUCAAUCGAUAAAUUUCACGUUUAUCACAAUUCGCUUGUUAAUUUUGUUGUAACAUGAUUCUUAGGAAUCAUGCUACUCAUUUUUUCCUUUAAAUGAAUAUUAAUUUUACCUAUCACACAUGCCCUUUCAUUACAUUACUUUUGAAAGAUUUUGGAUCUUUGAUCGCUUUUUAGGUCCUAACGAUAGGUCCUACCAAUUUCUAUGCAAGAUGCACACGAUGCGUUGUCUAUAAAAUUAUAUAUAUACAUAUAACGUAGAAGACUCACACGGUCAAUUAUUAUUAGACCCGAACGCAUUGAUACUGUCUCAUUCUUUUAGUUUCUAUUUAUGUAGUAUAUUAAAUAGCUAUUAAAAACGUCAAAUUAUAUAUAUUCAAUUUUUCUUUUUUAAUUCAUUUUUGUCGAAUUUUAAAAAUUAAUAAUGUGCUCUGCUCAAUAAGUGGAAAUGAUUAAUAUGUUGAAUGAUAUGGGUGCCACCGGUGACAUGUAAUUGAUCCAUUGUCAAAUUUUUUUAUUACAUUUAUAAAUAGAAACUUUUUGUAACGCUAAUAAAAUGGCGUACACGUAUACUUCCUGUUUCAACAUAAAUCAAAGAGGUAAACGAGACAUGGCAAAAAAAAGUAACUAUCUUUUGAUCGUGAAUGUGAAGAGAUUAGUUAUUAGUCAUCUCUAACAGAUGAUGCUAAAAUUUUAAUUUUGAUUUAGAGUGAAAUACAAUCGUAUUUCCCUUGUGCUUUUUAUUUAACCCUCGGACGGCGGACCAUGAAGAGAGCCCCAAUUUUAAUGUAAUUUUCGAUUUCAUAUUAUUUUCAUUUUCUAUAUUUUACAUUGUUCCUUUAAAAAUUAUUCUUCCAAUACCUAUAUGAAUACUAUUCAUCUUUUGUUGAAAUAUUAUACAUUAAACUUUAGGAUAAUAUCCUUGUAUAUAUUUUGUAACUUUGGGUCUCGAUUGUCCCAGACUAUUCAAGAGUUAAGCUAUUAUAUCAAUAAUUUAUUGAUAAUGUUAAACGCCAUUUAUGGUGUGAUAAAGAUGAAAUAAUAUGUGUUAAAUUUUUGUAUAACGCAGAUUUUUUAAUUUAUUUAUAAUUUCUUUUGCGAUAAGGGUAUAUUACUCAACUGAAAUAAAUAGAAAAAGAAAUUGAUCAAUAUACAUAUGGUAACGUUUAUCUGAUAUGUAAAAACCUGAUUUUAUGCGUAAAAAACUAUAUAUUUCAUUGAGUGUAUUAACUUGAUGAAAUUGAUAAUCAUUUAGAAUUGAAAUUUAUGCUAAAUAAAUGUUAUUUCAGCGUUUUUUUUAGCAUUUCUUGUAGUCUAGAGAGAUUAUAACGAAGUUAAAAUUAGUUUCGGUUUGGAAAUCAAGUACACUUGUUUCAACAUAAGCGUUUAACACUCAUCAAUCUGGUAAAACUGUAGGAUACAUCUAUACAGUAUUUCUCUUAAGCUUAUUAUAUAAUAUAAAAUAAUGAACGGUUUUUAGAUUAUAUAGAGCGGCACGUAUUCUUUGGUUCUUUGCUGAAGGGGUGAAAUCAUUUCUUAACACGUUAAUUACCACAGUAAAAGUAGACGUGUUUAAUAAGACAUUUUUACUUAAAUUUUACUUUUUACUUAAUAUUAUUAGUAUAAUAGUGAGGCUAUCAGAAUUUUUUGUUCCUUUUUUUAAAUUAAUUAUUCGAUACAUAUAUUGGGCUGUUUGGAAAAUUUAGCCAGAAGGCUGAAAAGUUCUACAUGAAUAGAAUUAUAUAGUUACUUAAAAGAUGGCAAUAAGUUAUUGAAAAAAAAAAAAAUGGUGCAUAUCUUGAUAAAUAAUAUUUAGGAGUGUAUGGGUACCCGAAAAUUCGGAUAGCCUACGAAAAUGAUACAAUUUCAUCUCCCUUUUCCCAUCCGACUGAAAGUUUGGUAGCUUGAAAAAUUGUCCAUUCUCACCGUUCUGUCUGCGGCAAUAUAACGAGAGUCUACUGUAAUUUCAAAUUUAAACCAAAUUUGCGUUUUCAGUAUUAAUCUUGAAGUAAAUGUUAAUAAUAUUAAUCUCAGUAAAUGUAAAUAAAUAACUUAUUGGAAAUACAUAUUUUAGAUGCAAAAAUAUAAUAUAUUUUCAGUAUUUUUUAAUUGAUGAGCUUGACAAACUUCCUCCUUGGUCCUUCUAGGGUUAACAGGUUAAAAAUACGUGUAUCGCUUAUUUUCAGUUUAUAAAGUUUUAUCAAAAUGAAACUUAGCAAGAAAAAGUCAGUAUGCCGGCUUAAGUUAUUAGAAACAACAUCCAUCUUUCGAAAAGUGAACAGAUUCUCUGCUGCGAAUGCACUAUUAAGAAUAAGAACAGUUAAUUUUCUGAUUUCAUAUUGCAAGCUUUCUAUUUACUAUUUUGUCAUUGGUGAAACUGGAACCUUCUUCAGGGUGAGCCAGGUCCCUUAGAAAUUUUUUAAUUUUAGGGUCUUGGAAACCUGAAAUUUUUGAACUUUUAAGUUUUUAGGAUCUUGAAUUUUGUAAUUUUAGUAAUUUGAAUUUUUUAAUUCUGAUAUUUAAAGUGAAAUUAAAGCUCACAUUUUUAGGGCUCAUCGUGGCCCUUCCUUUGUUCCGCUCAUGUACAUACUUUAUAUCAAAAUAGGAGAUAUAACGGAAAUAUGGACCAUUUUUCUUCAUUAAAAGUGUAAAAAGCGCAUGAGCGAAAGACAAAAAUGGUAGUUCAUAGUUCUGAGAUAAUGUAUCAGUAGUUUCAAGUAAAAAUUCAAUUAGUUUGAAGUUAUGUCAUUUUUACGAAAUAUUGUCAAAGACGCGGUUUGAGAAAGUGGGUGGUCUUAUGGACCAGAGCAUAAAAUUGAGAAACACGUAACAAACAGAUAGUUUCUUUUUAUAGAUCUUGUAUUUUAAAAUUAGAACAAGUGUUUUUGCGUCUAUAGUAAUUAGAUGUGAAAUCUCAAAAUUAUUUGGACACUAAUGAUUAAAAGAUUUGAUAAUCAGAAAUAAUAAGAAAUAAAUAAUUAAUUAAUGAAAUUUAAGAUAGUCUUUUAAUGGUGACACCUCAUAGCAUUUCGGUCUAAUCGUAAGAUAAUCUAACAAUCUCGCUCAGAAUGAGAAAGAUAUUUCCAGAUAAUUAAAUAAAGAAUUUUGAAGUUUAACUUUUUAUCUAAUUAUAUUUUUAUAAAUAACAUAUUACAUUUGUUAAUUAAUAUGAGAAAAAUAUUGACUAAUUUUACCUUAAAAGACUUUUCAAGUGAACAAAAACAGACGCUUUCCUUUUUUAGCCAAAGUAAACAUGCAAAUCACACCAGCUCUAUCUGGUGGCACUAGAAGGUACUAAUUGUUGUUUUUAUUGCAGCUUCUGACAGAUUACAACACUUAUCUAACAAUAUAAGAAUCCGGUCCAUAUUUUCUACCUUUUCUACUAAUAUUUUUUUAUUUUAAUUAUUCCAGUACAAUAUCAAAUUUAUUGUAUCAUUCAGCAGUGAUCCUCCCAAUAUUCAACGUGUUAAAUAAUAAUCCAAGAAAUAAUUUUAAGAUAUUUCUGAUAUCUGUAAGAGUACAAAAUAUAUCAAAUACAGGAAUUUUUAACCCAUUGCAACAAGGAAGACUUUAACUCAAAGUUAUGAGUUAAUAAAAAUCGUUCUUUCCGUAGGGGGUGUCUGUUGGCAAUGUUGGAAACGUGGGCGUAAAGGUGCUUUCGAGUAUGGCUGCUGACAUAACAGUGGGUAAGAAAAACCAGGAACGAUAAAAUGUUAUCAGCAGCGUCGAAGGCGGUGGUAAGUUUAUGGCUGAUACGUGCUGUUUAUCGAACUAUGCUGCGUUUAGUUAAUUAAACGGUACGAAUGCCUGUCGCUACCGACCAGAAACUAAGUAAGCAUAGCGCGGACGAAUAAUUAUUGGAAAUGCAAAAAGGAAAAGGAAAAGGAAAAGGAAAAGGAAAAGGAAAAGGAAAAGGAAAAGAAAAAAAAGAACAGAAUCUCAAGAUCAGUUUAUAGCAUGUUGAAUGGCGCUAUGAAUACACGCACUUGAAUUUCUCUUUAAUUUGCAAGAGGUGGCGCCACGAGAGCCUAAACAGUUACAAUACGUAGAUCAAAUUCGAUCAAAUUGGCAUGAAUAUUUUUAAUUUGUACAAAACCCUCUUUUAUUUUUAUAUCAUAGCAAGUCAUUAUAACAACGAAGCUUGGGUCAAUCGUGGUUCAAACUAACAAAAUAUGUGCAACGAUAAUGUCAACCUAAUUAUACAUUUCACUUAAACUCUAAAUCUAAAGUGAAAGUCUCACAUAUUGGAACUAUAAUUUUUAAAGGAAUAGUGUACAAUCUGAAAAAUAGAAACAAUAUGAAGUAUAAAGUUAAAUUAAACUUGUGGCUCUUUCCAUGGUUAGCCGGGCAAGAGUUAAUACAAAACGUAGUUUUUGGAGUUGUACCGGUCUUCAAUUGACCGAUUCGAUUGUGCUGAAACGGUGUAGGAAGACCGGUACCAGAGGGUUGAUGCAGCGAAGAAGAAAUUCCUGGUAUAGGAAGGAGGUAGCGGCGGACUUUGACGAUCCCUUAAGUGAAAUAUCAUCGACAAUCACUCACGUGAGAUGUUUAUCGGCCGGUAACGUGAUCUCUGACCCCACCAAACUCGGGAGCAGUUUUAUGCGAGCUCCCGCGGUGCGUGAAUAUACACCCGGUGGGUGCUGGCUGCCGGUGCUUCGUGGAGGAGGACUCGGUGAGAUCGUUGGAAGAUCGAGGGAGGAAUGUAACGUGGUUCGUGGCUUCGGGAUGGUUGGGAAUCACAGAAAAGUAUUUGGCCGGCUUCGCGUGGAAGCUGAGGCACGACGUUCCACACGCAGCUACGCGACUGCCAAUAAAUAAGCAUCGGCAUUUCGCGCGCGAUUCGCGCGUCUUAUCGAGCCACUUGGACCGCAGAGAGGAUGGGCUACUUCCGAUCGAGACGAUCGAAUCGAUGCUCCCUUAUCUCUGUACGGUCGCUGCGCUGAAAAGGCUCUUUCAUGGAUCAAGGAAAACAAGGUAACUCUUCGAAAUGAUGCGAUACCAUGUUUGUGUAUUAAGCUCGCUCGAGAGCUUUCGAAAUCUAAUAGGUUGUUAGGACUUAUUAGUAACACCCCGGAGUAUGUAUUUUGCAAAGUUUCGAGAAUGUAUGUAAUAAUUACAUAAAUGUAAUUAUACAUAGUCCGAAUAGGAUAGUCCGAAAUUCAUGGUGCAGAUGGGGUCAGGGUGAUUCUAAGAAGGCUUAAAAGAAGUCGAAAAUCAAGAAUAACGAGAUUGCGUGGGAAGCCUCGUUUUCAAGAAAAAUGCAUUUGAAAAUCAGUUUAAGUACGCGUGUACUUAACUAAUAACCGAUAUUACCGAUUCUACUAUGGAACGUUGCUGUGACUGUUUGUACAUACACAUUAAACGUAAUAAAUAAUGAUAAUAAAGUAACAAUUGCACUGUUAGUUGAGCUUAGUUUAUUACUUAUUCGUUGUUGAAAAUGUUGACCAUUUUCCCGUAUGCAAAGUCGUAGUUUUUGAACUAAAUUUUGUCUUACUGUUUACUGCGUAUCCCAGAUUUUUAUUUCUUCAAAUGAGUCGUUGUUUUAUUUUUUAAUGUUCAAGACUUACAAUGUCUUCGGAAUAAACUAUUCAUUUUACGUUUUCCCACAGAUACCUAAUCGAGAAAAUCGAGAAGAUAAUAAAAAAUAAUCUGUAACAUCGGUUAUAUUAUUAGUUAAGUACACGCGUACUUAAACUGAUUUUUCAAAUGUAUCUUUUACAUUUUUUCUGCAGCAAACAAAGUUUCCUGCGCAAUUUCGUUAUUCUUGAUUUUGUCCUAUUUUGAAUCAUAAAAUCAUCGUGACCCCAUUUGUACCACAAAUUUCGGACCACCCUGUAUUUUUAAAUAAAGAAAUAUUAGUUACUAAUGUUAUAAUUUGUUAUCCAGUAAGGUAUUAUAUGGUCAUUAUGCGGAGGCAUUUAAACCCUAACUUUGAUGGUAAGCUGUGAUCUAUAAAUUUUUCUUAAUUCUGAUCUAUAAUAUUAUAUCUUGGAUAAAAACGAUUUUAAAAACAAUGAUCACUUAUAAUAAGGUCCGACUUUUUUCAAGUUGGUGCAAAACAACACACGAGGACUAAUUCAGUGAUCACUGUCUUCAAAAUAAUUCUCAUUCAAAAUAAAUUAAAAUUGGUUAACAAUUUAGAGAUUGCGAAUUACCAUCAAAGUUACCAUUUAAAUAUCUCUAUAUAAUCAUUUAUAUAAAUGUUAAUAACCAGUAUUUAUUUAUUCAUCAUUAAUUGUUUGAAACUUUGAAAGUGUUGUGUGAAUAGAAGAUAAUCGUUUUCUACAAAUUUUUUAACAAGAAUUGACCUAGUAUACUGACCGAUGACAGUUUUCUUAUGCUAUUACAAAUCAGUUCGAAUAUUUUAUUAUAUUUCAAACCAUCCUCUUGUAUGGAUAUACUUUGCAAUUUUUGAUGUGAAUGGAUUAAUGGUGUGUAAUGAUGUCACAUAGAUUGCGUUUUCAAAUUGCGUUUUAGAAAUGGAGGUUGAAAGAGUUUUUUGCCAUAUUUGGUAAAUCAGUGAUUAUUAAUUUGAUAAUGUAAAAUGGUAAAAGAAUUGGCGUACUUGAUUGCCGACAAAAAUAGUUUACAAGUGUUGAAGUAAUUGGAGAGUUUAUUAUUUAGAUGACUUUAUGGUUUUCUGUACAACUAUACCCUCGCGAUCUUACAAGGGUUAAGUCGAAUAGUUUUGAUUAUGCUUUAAACUAGAAUUCUUGAAAUUUAGAGAACUGUUUCGAGGUGAACUUUGUUGAACAUGACUGUGAAUGAGAGUGUUUACAGAAAACUGUAUAUAAUUCACUUUCAGCCGAUCAAAAUAAUUUUCGACCUGAUCCGAGUAUCGGGUACCCGAAAGUUUUGAGUUCUCGUACAUCGAUACUUUUAAGAACUCAAUACGACCCGAUCUAACCCGAUAUUGUAGGGUUUUCGUACACCUCUACUUUUCAUUAUUUGUUUUUAAAUUGAUGAGUUUUUUAACUCUCGGACGGCGGACCAUGGAGAAAACCACAAUUUUAAUUCACUUUAUCAUUUUUUAAAUUGAACACUGUCUCUUAAAAAUUAUUGUUCUAAUAUAUGAAUCUCUUUCAUUAAAAAAUUAGAUAUACAUUUAAUUUUAGGUUAAUACUUUUAUGUUCGUUUUGUAAGUUUGGAUUACAAUUGAUUCAGACUGUGUUGUUCAAGGGUUAAAAUACGAUUGUAAUUAUUAAAGUCGUGUUUCGAGAUAUUUGAAGUUAAGAUUUCUUUCAUUAAUAGAGCCGCAAUAUUGAUAAAAAGUUUCUAAAGUCGAUAUACUAAAUGAACUUCAUUAUCAAUGCAGAAUAAAAUAUUAUUGAAUAAGAACUGGUAAAAUAUUUCUCAAUUUAAUUUUUAUGUACCAAAAUUUAAUUUUCAAUAAUUUUAUACAAUUUUUUCUAUUCACAAACAAUAACGAACUUUUAACAUCCUUAAUCUUGGCAUUUUGUAAGAUAAUGGGAGGAGGAAAAUUCAGUGUUAAUUUUGCAAACGUUUCCUUUCUUCUGAUGUCACAUAAAGAAGAAAAUAAAAAAUCAUUAGAUUCAUAUAUUUAUUAUUAUUUUAUAUAAAUUAAAAAUCCCGAACUUUUGACUUCGUACUUUUUUAAUGCAUCUUUGUAAUUAUAAAUCAAAUAUGCUUCAUAUCUGACUUUGAAAGCAAGAGGAUCUUUUCGACAGGGUUUGUAUACUCCAAUGUACCGAAGAAAUGUUUUAUCUUUUUCAAUUAGCAGUUUCUCGAAAAACUUUAUCUAUUUAAGCAGUUAUUACAGUAUUUCAUUGGUUAUACAUAUACAGUCAUACACUACUGAUGGAAAGUUUGGGAGCAAACAUUGCGAGAAUUUAAUAUGUACUUAUAAUACAUUCCUUUUAGUGAAAUUUCAAUGCCGUUCCUAGUUUUUCUUACCGAAUAUCCUUUCUGUAUUAAUGAACAAAUUUGCACUCAUUAUUCAAUAGUUGCCUUUUGUCAUAUUGUAACCUUUUAUAACAGCUACACCACACUUGAUUACACUUUUCAAAAUCUAAAGUAUUUUUAAUGUAAGAACAAUUUCUAACACCUAAUUACUUCAUAAGUCGUUAAAUAAAUGUACAGAUUAGUACUAGAAGUCCUAACAAGAUUUGUAGGAGUAAUAAAAAUGGCCAUUGUUACAAACGUGUACGCGAAUAGAGUCAGGAAAAUGGCUACAUACUGAAAUUUUCAUUCAAAUAGUAUUAUCGAUUUAUUCGAAAGUUAUUCGAACGUUACCUCAAAAGAUAGACGCGUUUCUGAACUUUCUGUUGAUAGCAUAUACAUAUAGUUAGGUCAAUAGAUUCUAACAAAUCGAAGAAAAGCUUAUAUUCAUAAGAGCUUCUGAACUUCACUUAAUUGGUCAUCGUCGACAGGGUGUUCCUAAGCGGGUAACAAGGUACCAUCGUUAAAUCGCGAAUUACCCUGUUGUUUUUUUCUUUCUGUUCGUAAAGGAAACAGGCUGACGUUUCUGGAAAGACGUCGGCUCGUUUCGAAAGAUGAUAAUUACGCUUUUACGGUACACGGCCAAACCCAAUCUACAUUGUGUCUACGAGGCGAGUUCUCUCGCGGCAAGACGUAGGAAAUCGCGCAACACUUUUAGGCUCCCCGGUACACGGGUUGCGAAAAAGUGAAAUGUGUUGUACCAUUGCGUUUCCAUUGUUGUGUAGAGACGUAAAACGGGGCAAGGUUGAAUUUUCGAUUGUCUGAAAAAAGGUCCCACAACGUUCGAACAUGGGCCUCGGAGUUUCAUACUCUACGCCGAGACACAUCUUUCUUUUUCCCGUUUCGCGAUCAUCGAACCUAUGUAUAUCCAACGGUCUCUAAAUCUCCGGAGGCUCGCAUCUUUAUGGCACGUUGUAAAGAUUAACCCACGAUACAAUUGUGCUUUUGCUCGGCGAUGUGGCUCGUAAUUUUACACGUUUGCAAUCACCAGUCGAGUCCGCUGUUCCGACUUGAAGCGUACACGAUAAUCUCUCUUGUGAUGUGUUGUUCAUCUGAGAGAAAGACAUUGAUUCGUUCGUGGGAUUACCACGUGUUUAAUCGAACUUUAAUGCACGAUGGGAUUUGCCAGUUAACAGUGGAGUCGAUUUGACUUGACGAUAUAGAGAAAUAUAAUACCUUCGUCGUAUACUUAUGACGUUACGUAACCAUUUAACACCCACCAGGACGUUAAGGAUCCGUGGCUAUUGUAGAAUCCUGAACGAAGCGAGCAGAGGGAGAAUCUGAGGGGGAUCCUGGUCGGUUGAAUUACGCCGAUGGAAACGGAAAGGGGAGAGAUCGAGGGGCCAGAUAAAAUUACGAGGACACGGUGAUGAAUAAGAGUGCAGCAAUGCGUCCCAAAAUGACUGGCAUAAGCGUCUGAAUGAGUCCCGUCCAAGACAUUCCACGUACCGUGCUCACGGUGACGAGCAAACGAGCAACGACGCAUCGUUUCCCAUUGUGAAAAUCCUUCUCGCCCGUUUCCUGGAGGGGCCAGGGGUUUCUCUGACCUUACCUCCCGUUUUCCGCUUUAAUUACGUUUGUCAUUUUGCGGCUGGGUGUCUCAUUACAAAGAAAGUUCGAAGUUUAACUCGACUGCUUGCGAACCUAGGUGGCCUCUUUCUGGUAACGGCACUAACCAACCCAGACCAGACAGUCAGCCAACAACAAUAACAACAAUAACAACAACAACAACAACAACAACGACAACAACGACGACGAAGAAACGAAGAAACGAACGAACGAACGAGCUAACCAACCAGCCAACCAACCAACCAACCAACCAACCAGCCAACCAACCGACCGACCAACCAGUCAUGAGCCCCCUUUUACCUUACGUAUAGCCCUCCGCGUGCCUCUCUUCGCAUCGCCGCUCUAGAUCUUCGGAUAAGAGCGAACACCAUUUUAGCGGUUCCUUACACACCAGACAUCCGUUCCCUUCCUAUAUAUGUAUAUAUGUGUAUACAUAUAUAUAUAUAUAUAUAUAUAUAUAUAUAUAAUAUGUGUGUAUACAUAUACCUCGGCCACGGGGAGAGCUCGCUGCGCUGCAUUUUCUCCGCGCGAAUGUGUCAAGCGACCGGGAAAAAGGAGAGAGACAGAGGCGGUUUUGCGAUGAAGGUGGGUGGGAGGACAGAAAAAGGACAAAGAGGUCGGUGGGAAGGGGAAAGGGGAAUGGGGGAGAGGAAUCACGGUGAGAUAGAGGAGAGAGAGGCAAACGAGUGGAAUAGAGAGAGAGGGAUACGGAGGCAUGUCAGCCGAAACCUUCUAAUCCCACGUACAGGUGUUUAAUUCGUUACGUGAGACCGGAGGAAGCAGAAAACGGGAUACUGUACCGUUUUCCGUGAUAACGAAUAAGGGUUUCGUUCCUCGUUGGUGUUAAUUAAACGUUGCCUUCGGUAAUUCCCUCGGAAACGACAUUACUCGGAUGAACAUCGUUUUCCACAGAAAUUUCGAUGGUCUUUCGAUGUUCUUGACGAAACGAAUGAAUGCGGAAGUUUGGUAGUUUUGUAGAUCGUUAGUCGUGGUGGGGAACGGGUCGCAUCCGGGUUAACGUAAUUACAAAUUAAUUUGGUUUUAUUAAGUAGCUCGCCACCACGCACGUACGCGCCGCUUAUCUUCGAUGUUGUUUCUAGAAACACUGUAUUCGGGUUAAUUCUGCAUUUAAUUGGCGACUUAACCGUACAUCCACUUUUAUUCGGUACACCGUGAGAAGAAAGAUAUUAAUUUUUCACGAGUAACUAGAAUUCCCGCAAGAAUUUGCACUUUAUGGAAACACGGACAGAUGAAGAUAAGGUUGGCGAUUGUGCGCGAUGGCGGCGAGGAUGAUCUGAAAUAGUUUACUUGUGAAAUACGAACAAGGCGUAUCUUUUUCUUAUUGAAUACUUUGUUAUUUUAUUAAAAUUUAUCAUCACUUAAACUUAUAUAAAUAAAGUACUUAUAUAUUUAAUACGACCAUUUUAAUUGAUCUUUGAUCAGCGAAGUCUGGGUCAGUAUAGACCUAAGUGCACUUAAAAACAAAUAUGUAAAAGGAUAUUGAUCUAAAGUUAAGUGUAUAAUAUUUAAACGAAAGUUUUAUAAUAUGUUGGAAGAAUAAUUUUUAACAGGACAAUAUCAAAUUUAGAAAAUGAAAAUAAUAUGAAGUACAAAAUUAAAUUAAAAUUCAGGCUCUCUCCAUGUCCAUCAUUCAUGGGUUAAAGGUAUUCUAGAACUCGAAACUAUCGGGUCAGGGUUAUCGAAAGUAUAGAUGUUCGAAAACUCUAAAAUUCGUGUACCCGAACCAAGUGUUGGGUACUCGAAAUUUUUAGGUUCUCGUACAUUUCUAAUUUUAAUUAUUUACAAAAGUAUGCAAAAGUUACUCUAUUAUAAAUACAAGAAGAGGGCAUUUUAACGCUGCCUUGUUCUUUCUUUUGCUCUUUUUUAUUGUUAAAUUCUGAUUGAGUUAUUAUUAAAUACAAGUAUGCAAAAUUUUAGUCCUUUUUUAACGUUCCGAGUAAUUGUCUUAAAUUCAAAUAAAUUCCUGUUUUUGCGUUUUUGAAAGUUGUCCAUAGCAUCUAUGAAACGCAUUAACUGCAUAAAACUGAAUAAACCAAAUUGUAUAAUAUUACCAAAAAAGGUCAGAAAAUAAGGUAAAAUCUUAAAAAGAAGGGUGAAAUGUAUGUAGAAAACUGCAAUAUUGAACCAAUGAAUAAACUAUUCAUUAUUUCCUAUAACCAUUAAUUCUAUUGACAGACAUCGAUUCAGAAACGUGACAUCGUCCUUUGCACGUAAAUUAAACAUGAUUUCACACGAAUGGAAUUUAGUUAAAUAAUUUUUCAGCAGUUAUUAGUUUUAGGGCACACGUGCUCUUAUAAUUUUUUAGUUGUUUCAUAAUUCUUUGAAUUAUGUAAUGAAAAAUUUUAAAAAUCGAAUGUGAUCUCGAUAUUUGUUUUGAAAAAUUGAAGCAUAUUUUUUGCUAUAAUGGACGUUAUGUGGGUGACGCUUGAAUAUCUAUAAGCAUUCAUCACUUAUAUUGUUAGAAAUUCUUUCACUUAUCUAACUAAUUGUAAGUAGAAUUACUCGUAUUGGGUACUUGAAAUGAUAGUAAUAAAAAAUUACGAAAUAUUGUGAAAAUAAUAAAUAAGAUUUGUUAAAAAUGAAAAGAUGAUCAAGUUAUGUGCUUUUCUCUGUAUAAAAACUUUUCAAUUAUUAAAUUAAGGUUUUUCUUUUAUAUGAAAUAGUAGACCAAAGAAACAACAAUGUUUGUACCUGUCUCUACAAAUACACUAUAAAAAAAGAAAAAAGUAUUCUGUGUGUCCUCACCAUGUUAGGUGUCAGUGUCUGUUGGACAUACAAUUUACUAAUUACCCAUAGCUUGUCAAUAUAGAAUUUAGAAGAUGAACAAUAAAAUUGAAAGGUACACACAGUAGAAAAAGAGUGGCUUAUCUAAUUAUGUGUCCGAAUGCUUCGAGACUUGCAUAAAAAUAGUACGAAUUUGUAAUGGAAAGAAGAUGCGAAUAUAAUUGCCACUUUGAAUUGAACAUUUCUAAAUGUCUAUGAUCUCGUUUGGAAGAAGGUCCGUCUAGAGCGUAGAAGGUCGGUAAUUCGCAACAGAGAAGUCGAUUUCUCGUUAGGCUGGUACGCAACCGAGUCGAUUGCAAUUUGCGUACGAAUCCUUAGGCCAGCCGAUCGCACAUAAAAUCUAGCUUUGCAUGCUGAUAAGGGGAGCCCGUUCUUGUGUACGUUCUCGUAUAGGUGCAGGCCGCAAAGUUUCCUCGGAGUGUAUUGCGCCUCUUUUCCCUCUUCGUUCGCUUACUCGCUCGGCUCUCUUCUCUCUCUCCCUCUAUUUCUCCCUCUGUUUUCUCGGUUUUCUUUCUCUCGUCUAAGCGUGUACACGCGCACCCAGAUGUGGCCGCGUGUCGAUGUGAGUAGGGUUAUUAGCCCAGAAAGCAAGGCCCCUGCUUCCGGUGUAGGCACUUUAGUUGGAGAGUUUCUUAACCCCUUCUUACACGACUGCUGGCUGGCCUGGCCUAAGACUCUGCCCUGGCCUGGCCUGUUGUCGGCUGCGGGUGGUAGAAUGCCGUCCAGGGACACGACAAAACUCUCUCUCUAUGUGUGUACGCCUCUGGUAACGUGUGUAUGCCAGGGUUGCUAGGUCGCCACGGUGGUGAACCAUCAUUUUUCACCGUUAAGGUGGACCCGACCGGGAACGAUCGUAAAUUUUAAGAAAGACCAAAGAGAGCGCACGAUUCUGACUCCGGUGCAUGCGACCUUGCUUAUC